rfam:Xenopus tropicalis strain Nigerian scaffold_145_contig_10, whole genome shotgun sequence.
GCCGAAAUAGCUCAGUUGGGAGAGUGUUAGACUGGAGAUCUAAAGGUCCCUGGUUGGGUUUCGGCA